rnacentral:lncRNA from 1 species
AUGCCCAUUCCUGUGGCAGCCUAUGUUUCCUGUCUGUCAGAGCUGUCAGCCUGCUUAAGCAGAGUAAAAUGGUACAGGCAGUGCAGCCUGGUAGCGAGAAAAAAGGCUGCCUGUGAAAUCCCACUGUGGGACCAUAAGUGGGGACCUCAGGGCCCCUUCAUGGCAUCUCCAUGGCCAUGUCAUGCUGGAGAAGGAGGCGUUUCAAGAAUGUGAGCUGAUCGCUGGAAACUGCUCAUCUGACUCCAGUCUCAAAAGAGGCUAUGUGCAAGAAUCGGGUGAAGUUGUGAGACCCCAUCCACCCCUCACAAGAUUGUAUCCCCACCCUGUCUGACCUUACUGCUGCUCAAACUAUCUGUCCAAGGAUGAAAACCCAGGACAAAGGAGGAGUAACCCUCAUGAUGUGAAGCACGUGUUCACCUGUGAAUAUAACCUGAGGAUCAUGAGACUAUCUGUGGAUUUCACAGAGAAGACAGACGAGAAGACACCGCUGACACUUCUCCACGGAGGUCUCCUUUUCCACCAAGAUGCAGAUGCUUCUUGCAAGGACUAUCCUGUGAAUCCCACAGAGAAGACAGGUGUGGUUCCAAUGCCGGUGCACCUCCAGGGAAUUCUCCUUUUCUACCAAGCUCCAGGCCUUCUGCCAUGAUCAUGAGACUAUUUGUGGAUUUCACAGAGAAGAUAGGUGAAGGUACAGCAUGGCAUCCACCCCUCACCAGAGGGGUAUCCCCACCCCUAUCUGACCUUAUUACCUUAUUGCUGUUCAAAGUCUCUAUCCCAGACUGAAAUCCCAAGACAAUGGAGAAGUUCCCCCUGAUGAUGUGAAGCACCAACUCCUCUGGGAAUCAAAUUCGAGGUAAAUUUAAUAGGCCCGGUAGAGAUGAAUGAUAGUGUCUCUCCUUGGAUUGGCUGAAAGACAAUUAAACACUGGUAUAUUUCUGUUAAAAAAAAAA